GUUGCGGACAGUGUCUGGUGGGUAGUUUGACUGGGGCGGUCUCCUCCUAAAGAGUAACGGAGGAGCACGAAGGUUGGCUAAUCCUGGUCGGACAUCAGGAGGUUAGUGCAAUGGCAUAAGCCAGCUUGACUGCGAGCGUGACGGCGCGAGCAGGUGCGAAAGCAGGUCAUAGUGAUCCGGUGGUUCUGAAUGGAAGGGCCAUCGCUCAACGGAUAAAAGGUACUCCGGGGAUAACAGGCUGAUACCGCCCAAGAGUUCAUAUCGACGGCGGUGUUUGGCACCUCGAUGUCGGCUCAUCACAUCCUGGGGCUGAAGUAGGUCCCAAGGGUAUGGCUGUUCGCCAUUUAAAGUGGUACGCGAGCUGGGUUUAGAACGUCGUGAGACAGUUCGGUCCCUAUCUGCCGUGGGCGCUGGAGAACUGAGGGGGGCUGCUCCUAGUACGAGAGGACCGGAGUGGACGCAUCACUGGUGUUCGGGUUGUCAUGCCAAUGGCACUGCCCGGUAGCUAAAUGCGGAAGAGAUAAGUGCUGAAAGCAUCUAAGCACGAAACUUGCCCCGAGAUGAGUUCUCCCUGAGACUUAG
rnacentral:rRNA from 1 species